AAAGUUUUUCCAGGUGUGAUUGCUUUAGUUAGAGAAGGCACUGGUAUGACAUGAGAAAUUAUUUCUAUAACACUUGAUCUUGGGUCUGCAGCACUUGCUAAUAGAGAUGCAGCCAAAACAAAGCCUAUACUGAGUGUAACAUACUCUGCAGAUCAACACCCGUCUUUUAAUGUGAGGUCCGUACUAUAUAUCCAGUGCAAUUUAUUUACUAUUCUCGGAUUCUGAAUGUAUAUAUAGUUCAAUUUCAUGAGUUUAACCUUUCAAUUUAUUGUUUUCUGCAUAUGAUUUUAACAUCUCCCGUUUUCUCUAAAAAAAUAUAUUCAGUUUGAGUUUCAGUACUGCUUAUUAUGUGCAUUAUAGUCUCACAAUUCUGAAUUUAAUCUUUUUAAUUGAGUAGCAUCAUAUUUUUUGAUUGUGACCUCAUGCUUAAAUAAUUAAAUUUGGCAGGUUGCAGAAAUUCGAGUUUACUAUCUCUGAGAAUUAGUAUAUAUUCUGUGGGGUUCACCGAAUUCUUCUUCUCUUCCUGGAAUUUGCGGCUUACAUUGCUAAUAUUUGAUCCUCGAUAGCAAUGCUAUUUUCCUUCCAUGUUGGUCAUGCCCAAAAAAACAUAGUGGUGAGUACUUGAUCCUCCAUUAAUCACAUAUGUCCUUAAUGAAAUUGAAUGCAGUUUUUGUAUGCUCAAGAGUGAGUCUACACCAAUCUAGCAUGCUCGAGUCAGGGUGAUCACCAACAGUGCGAUGGACAAAACUAUCUUGCAUGUUAAUUCACUUUUGAAUUUUUUAUGGGAUUUAUGAUUAACUUAUCCUUAUUCCAUUGAACAAUUUUCAAACCAUAUUAAAAUGUCAGUUAACAGGUUCAUUUUGCAUUCGUUGGAAUCAUGGUAUCAUUUUAGGACAGAUUUAUGUUCUGUCAUACUAUAUGUAGGCAAUUGCUAUGAUUCUUUUUAAGUCAAAAGUAUUGGUGCCGAGCUAGAACAAAAUACGUACAUUAUAUUCUAUGAUAUUUUAUUCCCUUCUUAGAGUCAAGUACAUGUCAUUUGGAGAGCAUACAUUGUUUAUAUAUUGUAUCUAUAUAGAACUAGUUCUUUGGAUAUGUGACUAAACUUGGUGGAGACUUGAUCCUGGUUUGUACUUUUUUACCCAGGAUAAUAAACCUCUAUUGUUGUUGUGCAGUUGCAGGGGAAUCAUAUAUCGGCAUAAUAAAUUAUCCCAAAUGUUAUUGCACACGUAAUCUUACAUUAGUGUUUCCUUGAUAUCUCCUUUUUU
rnacentral:lncRNA from 1 species